rnacentral:rRNA from 1 species
AUUGAACGCUGGCGGCAGGCCUAACACAUGCAAGACACACGAGUGGCGGACGGGUGAGUAAUGUCUGGGAAACUGCACGAUGACGGGGGCUAACUACUGGAAAAGGUAGAUAAUACCGCAUACCAUCAGAUUGUCCCAUAUGGGAUUAGUUUGUUGGUGGGGUAACGGCUCACCAAGGCGACUAUCCCUAGCUGGUCUGAGAGGAUGACCAGCCACACUGGAACUGAGACACGGUCCAGACUCCUACGGGAGGCAGCAGUGGGGAAUAUUGCACAAUGGGCGAAAGCCUGAUGCAGCCAUGCCGCGUGUAUGAAGAAGGCCUUCGGGUUGUAAAGUACUUUCAGCGGGGAGGCGUUACCCGCAGAAGAAGCAACGGCUAACUCCGUGCCAGCAGCCGCGGUAAUUC